GGCUGAGCUUGGACCUCGGGUCCGGAGAGACCAUCUCCAGAGAGGAAGGUUGGCUUCAGGGCUGCCCAGCUGGUGCAGAUGGGGUCUGGGCCUCUCCAAGAGUGACUCCCACCUGCAGCUCUCUGACCAGGCCAGAAACCCGCAGGAAGAGCUGGCGUGAGCCCAGGGCCCCAUGCAGGUCUCCUCCCAUCCUUCCUACCAGGCCAGCAUUUCUACUCUGUGCAGCUACCAGCGAGGAGGGCCUGUGGGCUCAAAGACCCAACAGGAAUUCCUGCAGAAGCCCCAUAGCUUGAAGAGGGACCGUGGGAUGAAUGAGCCUGCAUGCAGCCUGGAAUGCAAAGGUUGUGCUGUUCUCCUGCAGCAGAGGGAAAGGGAGAGGGGAGAGGAAGGAGAGGGGUAGGGAGGCCACAGUGGGACAGUGGGAGGGAGAGAGAACAGAGGGCAGGUGGGCUGUGGCCAGCUGCGGGGCUCAGGAGGAGCCGCAGGCCUGCCAGUGUGUUUCUCUGUGUUAGAACCGGCCUGAGAAAGAAACUACCUGGGGGUGGGAGUCGCGGGAAGCUGAGAAGGGCUGGCAGCUGAGCAGCUCUUGGACAUGGCCCUCGGCUCCUACCUGUGCCUCCCUGUGCAGGGAGAAAGCUGCAGGAUGGCCAGGAGGUCCUGCUAGGGACAGAGCUCCCCACUCAUCAAGGCCUGGGUUGGAGGGACCCCUGGGACAGUGCAAGAGGAGGAGUUUGGGGUAGGGGCAGAAGGCCUGGCAGGUGGCCCAGAGCAGCAAGCAGGUGCUCCAAAGAGAAUGUCCUCAUAUCCUUCUGCUGGGGAGAGGGACCUGACUCCCUAGUGCUCCCGGGCGAGGGCCAGCUCUCUGUUGGAUGAGCCCCCCACUGCAUCAGUGGCAGCAGUUGUGGGUGUGAGCCCCAAAUACUUCUGCUGUCUAUUCAAAAUGGGGAUACUGGCAGGUUGUCUGCACCUCCCAGUAGUGCCGGGCUAGCUGGUGAGAUGGCCCUGGGGAACUGCGCUUCCCCCAGUAUGGGGUGUGGGUGAGGGUGGACGGGCCAGUGGAACUUCUGUGCUGCUGCUGGCCAACUCAGGCCUUCACUAGGCAGCCUCUCCUCUGUGGAGGACGGCUGAAACUGCAGGAGUUGAGUUGGAAGGUGAGGAGAGGGUCCCAGGCCUGGAGCAAGAAUCUGGCUAUGCCUGUCUGUCCCUCCACUCCCUUGCCUGGGGACACCUUCCCAGAAUGCUGCCCCCACCCCUCCUCCCACAUCAC
rnacentral:lncRNA from 1 species